CCGUCAAUUCAUUUGAGUUUCAGCCUUGCGACCAUACUCCCCAGGCGGGGUACUUAACACUUUUGCUUCGACUGUGAACCCAUGAAAGUCCACAAUCUAGUACCCAUAGUUUAGGGCUAGGACUACCGGGGUAUCUAAUCCCGUUUGAUCCCCUAGCUUUCGCGCCUCAGCGUCAGAAGAGGUCCAGCACAUCGCUUUCGCCACUGGCGUUCCUUCAGAUAUCUACGCAUUUCACCGCUCCACCUGAAGUUCCACAUGCCCCUACCUCCCUCUAGACAAUCAGUAUCAAAGGCACUUCUCCAGUUAAGCUGGAGGAUUUCACCAUUGACUUGAUCACCCGCCUACGCGCCCUUUAAGCCCAGUGAUUCCGAAUAACGUUUGCACGGUUCGUCUUACCGCG
rnacentral:misc_RNA from 1 species